rnacentral:rRNA from 1 species
GACAGAGGGUGCAAACGUUGUUCGGAAUUACUGGGCGUAAAGCGCGUGUAGGCGGCUAAGUAAGUCGGGCGUGAAAUCCCACGGCUCAACCGUGGAAGUGCACUCGAAACUGCAUAGCUAGAGUCCUGGAGAGGAAGGUGGAAUGCUUGGUGUAGAGGUGAAAUUCGUAGAUAUCAGGAAGAACACCCGUGGCUAAGGCGGCUCUCUAGUACGGUACUGACGCUGAGACGCGAAAGCGUGGGGAGCGAACAGG